UGGGGCGGGGCGCCUAUACGUCACUCCCUCCGGGAGGCCCAAUGGGGUUGGACGUCCCGGAAGGAGGCGGGCCCCGCCCCUCUGGGGCCGGGACCAGGUGGCAGUUGCGUCAGUCUGACUGGUGGGCGCGGCCGCUCCUGGAUGCUGUGGUGGUGACGCUGUCUGUUGCUCAGGAGAGGUGACUUCUGAAGGAGCUGCUGCGGCUUCGUCCGUUAUCUUCUUCCCUUCUUGGGCCCGGCCCACGUCCUUCCCUGCCCCUGACAAGGGGGAUGAAUUCCAACUGAUAUUGGCAUUCCAGGCCCUCCACAAUCUGAUGCCAAUCUUCACUGCUUCCGGCUUUCCUCCCUCCCUGUCCUCCUCCGAGGAUUGCCUGAGACUUUGCUUGACCCCAGUUCUGCAAUCCCAAAUCUUCCCUACCUGUCCAGGCUUAGUUCAGGAGCCCCGUCCUCUGUUCGCUCUUCCAGGAUUUCCCCCGCACCCCCCAAAAAAAUAGUUUUACAAGAAUUAAAGCUGGAAGGCUUAAGGCCUUAGAGAUCAAGUAGCCCAAAGAUCUCAUUGUAGGGGCCAGGUGAGUGGCUCAGUGGAUUGAGAGCCAGGCCUAGAGAUGGGAGGUCCUAGGUUCAAAUUUGACCUCAGACACUUCCCAGCUGUGUGACCCUGGGCAAGUCACUUGACCCCCAUUACCUAGCCCUGACCACUCUUCUGCCUUGGAGCUCCAACAUGGAAGGAAGCCAUCUUAUAAGCAAAUGGACAACAUGAUCAGUACUAUGAAUAAGGAAAAGCUGACUUGUAAUUAAUCAGAUAAAUGUUCCAAUGAAGAGAACAGCAGAAAAGGAGACAAGAUUCCUACAAGGUUAUAUUAUCCAAUACCCUCAUUUUACAUUGGAGUGCCAGAGAAGUUAAGUGACUUCCUCCUUCAAGGCUGAUACUAUUUCACUUUUGCCACUGAAUUCCUAGUACCCAGUACUAAUACCUCCAGACCUAACUGGUAUAGUUGCAAGAUUCAAUGUCUGACAGAUAGGAGGUGCUUAAUAAAUUCUUAUUGGUCAAGUGAUUAGUUGUCCAAAGACAGAUAGGUAGAAAGGGGCAAAGUUGAGAAUAAAACUCAGACUCUGACUUCAAAAACAGGAUUCCUUUAUUUGCACCAUUCAGCCUUCCUCUUAUGAAAAUAGGAAAAAUACAAUGCUAGAAUUCUAGUACAGGUAUCUUUGGUGAACAUUAAGAUAAGGGCUAAGUUUAGAUAGCUCCAGAUUCCCAAAGGUCUCUUUACUAUUUCUGGUUCCUUAUGUACAGAGUAAUACCUUCAGAAGGAGGCAAAGUCCUAGCUUCACCUUGACUGCAGAGUAACCAGGCUUAUCUCCCAAUUUGAAAUAUCUGUCCUUUAAGACUCUUACAACAGUGGUCCUUUAAUAAUGAUAGAAAGAACUUUGCCAAGCUCUUAUCUGGUGAAAAGAGAUAUCAGUCUAAACUAAGAGAAAGUUCCUGAACCUAUGAGGAUGAGAAAGGGAAAUGUGUGGAAGAACACAGUGAUGUAUUUCUUGGCCUAUCGUGUGCUUAUGGCACACUGUCAGAAUUCCCCUUGUGGAAAGGCCAUGUCACAAAAAUAAGAAUACAGCAUCAUUCAAAUUCUUUAAAAUGACAGACAUGGGAAUGUUCAUCUUAGAAAUUAAAUGAUCCAGAAGAUCAUAGACUUGCAGGUGAAAGGGACUUGAGAGGCCAUCUAUCCAAUCCUUUUAUUUUACAGAUGAGGAAAAAGAGCCACAGAGAUGAAAUAGUUUGCCAAAGGUUACACAAAGUAAUGACAUCAGAGGUAGAAUUUAAACUCAGCUCCUCUGACUAUGAAGAUUACAGGAUCCUUUUUCUGAUUACCAAACUUACUACCAAAUAUGUACUAUUAAUAAUUUAGUAUGUAUUAGAAGAGGAAUAGGGAAUGAUAGAACUAUGAGGCUGCUGUGUAUCUGUAGUGUUUUGGACCAAUACUUCCAGAACUAAUUGGUAUAGUUUCAGGAUUCAAUGAAUGAGCUUUUAAUUUUAAUUUCAUUGGUGUAGAUUGCAACCCUGCUGCAUUUCAUACUGUGUAAUUCUUGUUCCUUGUCUUUCAGUAAAUUCUUCACAAAUGACCUAUCCAAUGAGCUAAAGACCUUCAGUACAUAUCUCUUGAAGAGAUGUGGGAGGAGUCAUUGAGUUGGGGCCAGAAUUUAGUAAAGAAAUUAAAUUGAUCUAGAUUGCAUUUGGAAAAUUGCAUGUCUUCUUCAAACCCCCAAAUUACAGGUCACCUAAAAGGCAAUGAAAGGGUAUGUAUCAGUUAAUCAAUAAAAUGUAUUAAUUGCCUACUAUGUACCAGACAUGAUACUAAGUUCUGAGAAUACGACAAAAAAAGAUACACUCCCUGUCCUCAAGAAGUUUAUGUUCUAUCAGAAAAGUUAACAUAUACAUAUAUAGUCACAUACAAAACAUUGGGGGGGGGGGCAUGGCAAUAGGCCAUAACUAAUUUUUCAUCACUUUUUGGGACACAAGUGGCAUACAAGAUAAUAUCAAGACAAAAUGUGACAAAAAUAGUGUCCCAGUCUAGUAGCAUAAAUAAAAUGUUCAAUCAAAUUUGCUGAAUACAUUUUUCACUAAAUGGUUAUUUUGUUCAAAGAUACUGUUCUAGGCAUCUUGGAAAGAGGGUGUAUAUACCUGCUGCCCUCAAGUUCCUUACAAUCUAUUUCAGUAUAUGAGAUAUAUAUGAACCAUACCAAGAAGUAUCCUCAAUAAAGCAUAUGGUACACUGUAACACAAAUAAUGUAAACAAAUUCUAUUACAAUAAUUAUUAUGACCUUUAGUAAGCCACUUCAUCUAUGCAUGCCAAAUGAAAAGCACAUACAAUAGGAUGUGGAGUUCAUGAAUAGGUACAGGAAAUAGGAAUUCAGAAAAGAAAUUUCUGUGGAUUGCUACAAUCAGGGAAGUCUUUGUAAAGGAAGGAAUUAGAUGUGGGUCCUGAAGGAUGGGUAAACUGUUAAUAUACAGAGAGGAAUGGCAAGGUAGAGAAUUUGGAUAUGAAAAUGACUUAAGAAAUUAUUUAGUUUAACUCUUUCAUUUUACAGACAAGGAAACUAGGGCCACAAAAGAAGUGACUUUGCCCUGGAUGCCAUUUAAUUAGUAAUAGUUAAUUAGUAAUGAUUCAAUUUCAGGUCUUCUGACAUCAAACCAGUGUUCUUCUCAUUAUGUGACUUUGCAUUAUUUUCAUGACAAAAGAAUGGCUAGAGAAGAAAUAUAAAACCAGAAAUAUAUAAGGUGCAUUCAGAGGAUAGCAAUAGAUUAUUUUAGUGGGGAAAGAUGGUUCCCAUAAGGGAGGAAUGAAAAUUUUAAAGCCUUAGCUCACGGUUUUGAGAUUAUGGGGAUUCAAGGAGAAAUGAGGAGCCAAGACUGCGGCUUAGAGAUAGCAAAAGCUCAGAGCUCCACAAACCCUUCCUCACCAAUCAAAAACACAAUGCUUUGAGGGGACUGAAAACCAUAUCUAACAACAGGAUAGAACUAGGGAACCCUCCUCCUGGACCCAACUUAAAAGGUACCCCCCCCCAAAAAAAGCCUGAAUUCAGGAACAUGCAAGUUUAAGGGGGAGGAAGAAGGAAGGUCCCAGGAGCCCUCCCCCACCUAGAGUGCUGAGCCUCUCAGCAGUGGCUAGAAUCUCUGGGUGUGUAAGGGCGCUAAUCUGGAGGGAGUAUUUUACUGGCACAGCUGUGCCAGGCUCAGGGCAUUGAACACAGGUGAAAUAGAGGCAGCUGGAGAAGCACAGAGCAGGCAGCCUAGUUGCAGCCAAGACUCCCCACUUGAGGUUUUGCCCACAGGGCACAGCCAGCUUCCCAGAUCAACUCUGCCUUAACUCAAUCUCAUCAAUAGGGCAGAUAAGAAGCCUUCAGAGGGCAGGGAAGCUUAAGCUCCAAUACCCCUCCCCCACAGACUGAUCUGAAAGCCUUGCUGUCAAAGCUCCAAGGGGAAAAGACAGCAACAAUCUAAAGGCAAUAACUUUAACAAGAGGGUGGGAAGCCCAGUUCCUUCUCAGCUUCUACUGUCAACUGGAGAAGAUCUGACUAACCUGUUCAAUCAAUAAAACAGAGAAGAAGCCUCUUCAGGACAUAACAGCUUAAACCCACAGAUCCAGCACAUAAUGAGAGGAGCAAAACUAAGGCAACUACAGGGGGAAAGAAGGGGAAAAUAUGAAUUAAACAACAGAAAAAGAAAGAAGAAAUUACAAUUGACAACUUCUAUCCAGGCAAUGAACAGAGGAAGAUCAAGGAACACAAAGCAAAAACAAAGACACUCCAGUGAAUUGGAUACAAGCUUUGGAACAACUCAAAAUACAAUUCAAAACACAAGAGGUGAAAACAACUGGGAAAAGAACUUAAAAAGCAUCUGGAAACAGGGGCUCUUGAACUAAAACAAGAAAACAGUGUCUUGAAAGCCAAAAUUAACGAGAUUGAAAAUGAGGCAAAGAAAAUGAAAGAUCCGAAGGAGAUGGAUAACCAAAAAUCCAGGGAAGAAAUUCAGUCUAAAAAUUAGAAUCCAACAACUAGGAGCAAAUGAUUUCAUAAGGCAGCAGGAAACUAUAAAACAAAAUCAAAAGAAUGAAAAAAUUGAGGAAAAUAUUAAACAUCUCCUCCACAAAAUGGAAGAUUUAGAAAUCGGGUCCAGGAGGGACAACUUAAGAAUCAUUGGACUACCAGAAGAUCAUGACAAAAGGAGAAAUCUGGACAUAAUUUUACAGGAAAUUAUCCAAGAAAACUCCCCCAACAUUUUGGAGCAAGAGGGAAAAGUGGAGAUUGAAAGAAUCCACAGAUCACCUCCUGUACAUAAUCCUCAAUUGACAACACCCAGGAAUGUUAUAGUCAAAUUCAAGAACUACGAGAGCAAGGAAAAAAUAUUACAAGCUGCUAAGAAGUCAUUCAGAUACCAUGGAACCACAGUUAGGAUAACACAGGAUCUGGCUGCAUCAACACUGAAGGACCAAAAGGUAUGGAACAUGAUAUUCCAGAAAGCAAGGGAAGAAGGUCUACAGCCAAGAAUCAACUACCCAGAAAAAAUGACUAUAUUAUUGUAGGGGAAAGUAUGGUCAUUUAAAAAAAAAUAGAAGACUUCCAAGCAUUCAUAAAGAAAAGAUCAGACUUGAACAGAAAGUUUGAUGCCCAAUCACAGAACUCAAGAGAAUCAUCAAAGGUAAUUAAGAAAGUGAAAAAUAAACAAAAAAAAAAAACUUUUUUAAGGGAUGCAAUAAGUUAAAAUGAUUGGUAUCCCUAAGAGAAAA